GGGAUUACCGGUGGCGGAUGGGCAUGCGGCGCAUUAGCUAGUCGGCGGGGUAACGGCCCACCGAGGCGACGAUGCGUAGGGGUUCUGAGAGGAAGGUCCCCCACACUGGUACUGAGACACGGACCAGACUCCUACGGGAGGCAGCAGUGAGGAAUAUUGGUCAAUGGGCGCGAGCCUGAACCAGCCAAGUCGCGUGAGGGAUGACGGUCCUACGGAUUGUAAACCUCUUUUGCCGGGGAGCAAGCGUGCGUUCGUGAACGCGCGUCGAGAGUACCCGGAGAAAAAGCAUCGGCUAACUCCGUGCCAGCAGCCGCGGUAAUACGGAGGAUGCGAGCGUUAUCCGGAUUUAUUGGGUUUAAAGGGUGCGUAGGCGGGAUGCCAAGUCAGCGGUAAAAAUGCGGUGCUCAACGCCGUCGAGCCGUUGAAACUGGCGUUCUUGAGUGGGCGAGAAGUAUGCGGAAUGCGUGGUGUAGCGGUGAAAUGCAUAGAUAUCACGCAGAACUCCGAUUGCGAAGGCAGCAUACCGGCGCCCUACUGACGCUGAGGCACGAAAGCGUGGGUAUCGAACAGGAUUAGAUACCCUGGUAGUCCACGCAGUAAACGAUGAAUGCUAACUGUCCGGCUCGAAUGAGCGCUGG
rnacentral:rRNA from 1 species